UUUACAUUUAAUUGCACUUAACUUAGCCAAACUUUAUUAUUUUCUAUCAAGUCAGUAAGUCAACCAGUAUUAACGCCUGUACUUAUAGCCUUAACUGACACGCAAGACCAAAACUCAUAAAUAUAACUUCACCUACAAACUACAACUUAACUUUAGCUAAUAUGCCGAUAUCUCCACGAUACUAAUGUAUCAACGCUGUGUUUAUACUUCCUGACUUUACCAUUGUGACAAAG